GUUAUUCUUUGGUCGGUUUUUUUUUCAUUCUAAUACAUUUAUUUGAUCCUAUAAACCCACCUUUGGCUAUUCUGGUGCAGGUCUCUUCAGGAUUCUGACAACUCAGGAGUGCACAGUCUUGGAAAGCAGCAGGGAUCAGAGAAGGAUUGAAUCACAACUCACUUCUUGCUUAACAUCAGAGGGGAAGUAAAUUCUCUCAUUCUUACUUGUAGGGUAUCUCCUAUCUCUCUUCCCUUUAAUUUGUGUCGGUUUCACCUCCCUGUCUGGGAGCAAAAAUGAUACUCUGUCUGUUGCAGAAGUCCUUUGCUUCAUGCACAAAAUGCCUGGCAUUCCCACACAGAGGAGUUGAGAAGAUAGCAGAACACCUCCUUUGCAUCCUCAUGAGGACAUGUGGCCUGGCCUGCAACCCAGUCACCAGCUUCUGUUUACUUCAGCUCUGCUCUUACCCCACAAGUGGUGCUGGGAUCUUUUGUUAUGCAUCCUUCUUGCCUUUUUUUUUUUUGUUAGGUGGCAUUCAGGGUAUGUUCUUACCAGAUGCUUCUGAAAAACUAAAGUAUGCAGUAUUUCCACAUGUCUGCUGUAAUGCCAGACUAUGGUUUGUACAUAUCUGCUCUGCAGUCAUUGCACUUCCAGAAGUCAGGAGUCUUGUUGCCAUGAUAUACAGAUCAGUGGAUGCACCAAAACCUUCUGAAGUACCAGGCUGUGAUUUGUGACCAUUUGCAUUUUUGCUGACAGGUACUAAGGGCACACUCUCUUCUGUGCAAAGGCUCAGUUAACACCAGUGAAUCACAGAAACAGCAGAGAAGGGAAGAAGUCAAUUUUGCCACGGAAAGAGGAGGUAGAUUCCAGGCCACCAAGGAAUCAGAUCAGACACCAGACCAGGGAAAUAUCAGCACUUCACAGGAACAG
rnacentral:lncRNA from 1 species